rnacentral:lncRNA from 12 species
UGGAUGCCUAACCGAAUGAGCCACCCAGCUGCCCCUACAUGAUAAAAGAUAUUAACACAACCGAGAGGUCUUGGAGUGGAAACACUGCUGUCCAUGGGCCUAACCAUUUGGCUACUCAAUGAGGAAGCUGCCCUGCUGCUUGCUGCAUACCCAGAUACUUGCAAAUCUUCAGGAACUACUCAAGAGGACUCUAUCUGGAGUAACAGCUGUGAAAUAAAAUUUCAGACCAGUACAAUUCUCCCUAUAUUUCUAUUUUUCUUUUAUUUCCC